rnacentral:rRNA from 1 species
CUUCGGGUACUUUAGUGGCGAACGGGUGAGUAAUACAUAGGUAACCUACCCUUAAGACGAGGAUAGCCAUUGGAAACGAUGGAUAAAACUGGAUAGGAUAUAGAGGAAGAAUCUUUUAUAUUUAAAAGAGAGAUCUGCUUAAGGAGGGGCCUGUGGCGCAUUAGCUAGUUGGUGGGGUAAGGGCCUACCAAGGCGAUGAUGCGUAGCCGGACUGAGAGGUUGAACGGCCACAAUGGAACUGAGAACGGUCCAUACUCCUACGGGAGGCAGCAGUAGGGAAUUUUCGGCAAUGGGGGGAACCCUGACCGAGCAACGCCGCGUGAACGAAGAAGUUAUUCGUAAUGUAAAGUUCUUUUAUCAGGGAAGAAAGAGGAAUUUGACGGUACCUGAGGAAUAAGCUCCGGCUAACUACGUGCCAGCAGCCGCGGUAAUACGUAGGGAGCGAGCGUUAUCCGGAAUUAUUGGGCGUAAAGGGUGCGUAGAUGGCAUAGUAAGUCUUUUGUAAAAAUGCUGGGCUCAACCCAGUAGGGCAAAAGAUACUGCAAAGCUAGAGUAUGACAGAGGCAAGUGGAACUACAUGUGUAGCGGUAAAAUGCGUAAAUAUAUGUAAGAACACCAGUGGCGAAGGCGGCUUGCUGGGUCGAUACUGACAUUGAGGCACGAAAGCGUGGGGAGCAAACAGGAUUAGAUACCCUGGUAGUCCACGCCCUAAACGAUGAGUACUAAGUGUUGGUGAGAAUCAGUGCUGAAGUUAACGCAUUAAGUACUCCGCCUGAGUAGUACGUACGCAAGUAUGAAACUUAAAGGAAUUGACGGGAGCCCGCACAAGCGGUGGAGCAUGUUGUUUAAUUCGACGAUACGCGAAGAACCUUACCAGGUCUUGAC